rnacentral:rRNA from 1 species
UACGUAGGUGGCGAGCGUUGUCCGGAUUUACUGGGCGUAAAGAGCGCGCAGGCGGUCGUACAAGUCGCGUGUGAAAGCCCCUGGCUCAACUGGGGAGGGUCACGCGAUACUGUUCGACUUGAAGGCAGGAGAGGGAAGUGGAAUUCCCGGUGUAGUGGUGAAAUGCGUAGAUAUUCGCAAGAACACCAGUGGCGAAGGCGGCUCACUGGCCCGAUACUGACGCUGAGGCACGAAAGCGUGGGGAGCAAACAGG